AUGAUAAAUUAUGAAUCAAAAGAGAUUCCAGGGGAAUCAAACGAAAGUAAAAACAGUUAUAUUAAUAUUUGUGAAAUUUUAAAAAAAGAUGAAGAAAUAAAUAAUGUAUUAAAGAAUUUAAAAAACGAUGAAAAACAUUUAAGUUUUCCAUUAUUAAAUUUUUAUUUUUUAAAUAAAAAUUUCAAAUAUAAUAAUUUAAAAGAAAGUUUAGAAUUAAAAGAAAAUGUAAAUGAGUAUAUAAAUUUGAGACUUCUUAGGAAAGAAGUUUAUCCAAAGGAUGUAUAUUUUAACAAGGAGAAAUAUAAAAGAGAAAAUGCAGCAGUUAAAAAAUUGAUGAUUGUUAAAAAUUUAAUAAAUUUGAAAAAAAAACAUAUUAAUAAUAAGGAAGUUACUUCCAACAGCACUAGCAAUUGUUGUAGUAGUAACAGUAACAAUAAUAGUAACAAUAACAGUGACAAUAAUAGUAACAAUAACAGUGGCAAUAACAGUGGCAAUAACAGUGGCAAUAACAGUGGCAAUAAUAGUGACAAUGAUAGUAGUAGUUUGAGUAGUUGUACUGAUACUAGUUGUACAGAGAUAUAUCAUACCUUUUUCAAUUUUAAUGAAAAAAAACAUAAUAAUCAGAUUAACAAUCGAAAGGUUUGUGAUCGUUACGAUAACUAUAACCAAUGGAUUGGGGAUAAUAUAUCGGAUAAUAUAUCGGAUAAUAUAUCGGAUAAAAUAUCGGAUAAUAUAUCUGAUAAAAUAUCUGAUAAUAUAUCUGAUAAUAUAUCUGAUAAUAUAUCUUAUGACACACCAUAUAACACUCCAUAUAACAUAACGGAUGAAGCAUCACAUAACACACCUUAUGAAACACCAAAUAACAUACCAGAAGAUGUAUUAAAUAUUUGGGAUUUACCAUUUUGGGCAAAACCACCAAUAGAAUUAAUACGAAUUUAUAAUUAUGAAAGUUUAUAUUCAUUUAAUGAUUGGGAAUCUGAACAUACAGAAAGAUUAGUUUUUCAUAACAUUAGAAAUAUUUUAUACAAUUUUCCAGAUACAAUAAAUCAAAUAGAAUUAUUAUAUCCUAAAAAUUAUUAUAUUACCAUUUUUCCUAAUAUUUAUUUUAAAAACAUAAUUGAUUUUUUAAAAACUGAAAAUUUUAAACUAAUAAAAAUUGUUAUAGUACUAAAAGGUAAUAAUUAUAUUGAUGAAGAUAUGAUUAAUUAUAUUAAAAAUAAUUUAGAAAAUUUUAAAGGAAUCACAACUGAAAAUGUUAAAAAGGAUAUACAAAAAAGGUACAAUAAUAAUAAUAACAAUAAUAAUAAUAACAAUAAUAAUAAUAACAAUAAUAAUAAUAUUAAUAAUAUUAAUACGUUUACCCAAAAUAGUUACAAUACUAAAUAUUAUAAUAAAGGUUAUAAUAACAUAUAUAAUAACACUACAAGUGAAAAUAAACGAGAUACAAAAACUAUAUUAUCAGCUUUAAAAAAAUGUUACAAAGAUGAAAAUAAGUGUGUGUCUUCGAUUGGUCGUGUCACUGGGGGAACAACAUCUAUUUAUAUCAAGUCAAAAUGUCAAAACAGACAGAACGACAAAAACGGCAAAAACGGCAAAAACGACAAAAACGACAAAAACGGCAAAAACGGCAAAAACGACAAAAACGACAAAAACGACAAAAAUUAUGAAAACGGCAAAAACGAUAAAAAUGAUAAAAACGACAAAAACGACAAAAAUGAUAAAAACGACAAAAAUGAUAAAAACGACAAAAACGGCAAAAACGACAAAAAUGAUAAAAACAAAUGUAAUGGUACAAAAAAAAAUAAAUGUCCAAAAAAAUUAAAAAUAUAUGACAAUUUUGACAUUGUUCAUAAUAUUAGUAAUAUAGAACAAGGCAAGUUAGUAAAACCGUCGAGCGAAAAAAGUAAAGAUGUGAAUAAGUUAGAAACAUACCAAACUCGUUUUAACUAUGAGUGUAGUGAGUGGGAAAAUAUCACUAUUGAUAAUAUAGUUAGUAAUACGCAAAAUGUUACUCACAAAAAAACAGAUAAUUACAACAAACCAGACAUACAUGACAUAAUUAACGAAAAUAUACCAAUAAAUAAACUUAAAAAAAUAGAAUUUUUUGACAGAAUUACAACAGAAGAUAAAUAUAAAAAUGUUAAUAAAAUUGAAAAGGUAAAUAAAUUUGCUUCUUUUAAUAUGACUGAUCAGGCUAUAAGGGGAGAGGAGAUUCGUUGUGGAAACAUAAAUGGGAACAGUACUAAAAUAAAAAGUAAAUUAAUAAAAAAUAAUAAUCUACCUGAUGUCAGUUACGAUGAUAACAGUCAAGAUGAUAACAGUCACGAUGAUAACAGUCACGAUGAUAAUCUAUCAGUUGAGUUAAAAAACAGUAUUGAUAACAUUGCUAACAUUUGUAAUACUGAUACAACAUUAUUUAAUAUGUAUUAUCAAGAUAGUAAUAUUAUGCAAGAAAAAAAAAAGUUACCCGUUAUAGAUGUUCAGAAAAAAGAAUGUAUUAAAAAUAAUAACAGUAGCAGUAGUAAAAUUAAAAACAAUAACAGUAGCAGUAGUAACAUUAAAAACAAUAACAGUAGCAGUAGUAACAUUAAAACUAAUAAAAAUAACAGUUAUAACAAUAGCAGUAACAAUAAUAUGGAUCAGUUUUCAGAAUCUUCAUAUGGUGAAAAUGAUGAAUCAGACGAUGAAAAUGUAGAUGGUUUCUUUAAAACAAAAAAAUUAAAAAAUACAGUAUAUGAUAAUGAUAAUUUUACUUUUACUAAUUUUAUGAAUAAAAUAAUAAAUUAUGAUACAAUAAUUAAUUACAUAAAUCAUGAUCAACAACGACAAGAAAACGAACAAUCGAAAAUAAAAUUUUAUAUUAAACUUUUAGUUUUUGAAAAAUCAAAUACACCAACUUAUGAAGAUAGUAGUAAUAAUCAAUAUAGAAAUGGUACUACUACCACGACUACACCUAUUACUACUGCCA
ensembl:lncRNA